CUCCAUUUUGUUAUCCAUUAAAAUGGGGAUAUCUUACCUAUUCAAUAUAGUUGUUGUGAGUAUUGAAUAAGAUAACCUACGCAAAGUCUGUUGAACUAGUAAGAGCUUAGGGUUGGCAGUCCGAAAGCAGGGUCUAGGGCACGACUUUUGAAGACAUGUUUUCAUACUUUCACAAUAUAAAAAAAAUCAAGAGCUUGUAUCAAAGACGGGUGUGUGCAGCCCUUGGUGCCUCCUCUGUCUGGCAUAUAGUUGUUCUUUUCUCUUCUUUUUAAUGACUUGGUCCACUCCACCAAUAAUCUACCAAGGCCUUUUUAAUUUCUUGAGUGACAGGAGUGUCUUACGUUUUAAUGAGGUGACUCUUUUUUUUUUUUCCUUGCAUAAAUUUGAGGUGACUCUUAAAUUUUGGGUGGGGGCUGGUCACCAGAAAGACCAAGUCAUGAUCAGAAGCUUGGAACUUUAAGACCCACCCCUGUUCUCCAGUGAGGGCAGGAACCUGGGAAUGAAGUUAAUAAUUGACCAUGCCUACAUGAUGAAAUCUUUGUAAUAAUCCCAACAGUACGGGCUUUAGGGAGUUUCUGGGUUGCUGAAGACAUCUACAUGCUGGGUGGGUGACACACCUUAACUUCACGGGCAUAGAAACUCCUGCACUUGGAACCCCUCUGGGCCUUGCCCUUCAUAUCUCUUCAUCUGACUGUUUGGUCAUAACUUUUAUUAUAUCCUUUAUAAUAAACCAGCAAAUAGGUUUCCUUGAGUUCUGUGAGCUAUGCUAGCAAAUUGCUGAACCUGAGGAGGGGUCAUGGGAACCCUGAUUUAUAGUUGGUCAGUUAGAAGUACCUGAAGUGGGGACAGCCUUGUGUGACUGAGCUCUUAAUCUGUGGGAUCUCGUGCUAACUCUAAGUAGACACUGUUGAAAGUGAUUAGAAUUGUUGGACACCCAGCUGGUGUCAGAGAAUUGCCUUAUGGGUGGACGACCCACACAUCUGGUGUCAGAAGUAUUGUGAAUGUGGUAGCCCUUCGAUUUUAUGACUCUGGGGAAAUUCAAAGUUUCUUUACAUCAGGAAAAUAUUGGGGAUCCUUUGUUUAAAGAUAUUUUAUGACAUACACUAAAUACACUAGGAAAACAAGGAGAUGGAAAAAUUCACCAGGGCAGGCGGAGUGAGAGUCUGCUGCCAUAUGUUACCUCUCCUCUGUUUACUUCUUGAAGGAGGAGUUGACUUUUAAAUUCUCACCAGUAAUUCAUACGAUGGCUAAAAGCCUCCCAUGCUGCCAUUGGCAGUACCCUGCUGUGACACUGUGACUAAGGCGAGAAGGGAAAAUGGAGCUUCGAGGCUCACACUGGUGAGAUCAACAAAAUCCUCUUUGCAAAUCCAGUAGAAUCACGGAUUGAGAGAGCCAAGGGAAACCCCAACUUUCAGACUGAGAUCAGAUCUCAUCAAUUCUCCCUACUGGGAGGUGACGUCUAACUCUAAAAUCAAUGUGCUGCCAACUUAGCCCAAGUUCACUUUUCUUGAUGUAGACCAGCUGCAAACCCAGAAGUUUGGGGAGAAUCCAUGUGGGGGACUGAAUGAGCGCCAAAAUGACAAUCCCACAUUUACCAAUAAACUUGAAGGAGGGGGAGGGGAGCAAUGAAAGAAAUACCAAUUCUGGAAUUCCUAUCCUUACCUGAUUUCACCCCCUUCUCUUUGCAGUAUGGAAACCACUUAGUUGCAGAGAGAUGAUUUCCCAGUCAUAUUGUUGGGAGUAGUCAGAGUAAAUCACUUCCUUAUCCACCCUUGGGAAAAGUCUCUCUCUUGCUUGGAUAUCAUAAUUCAAACAGUCUGCUUCCAGUGAGCUGAGACUGAGAUUAAGCAUGGCGUGCACCAGUGCCGAGGCCUGAGCCCCAAGAAUUAUGAGCAAGAAGACAAAAUAAAGAGGAGGGGAUUCUGGAGGUGAUUCAGUGCCUGCUUCAGACAAACUUGACCCCCAAAACUCAGAGAGAGAACAUUUGCAUUUUUUAACCUAAAAAAUUAUUUUAAGUAGAAAUAUACAAAAUAUUUAAAAUAUAAUUUUAUUCAUAAGAUUUCUAUUUAGAUAUAACUUCCUAUAGGGAGUGUCAUUCCCUCACUAAAAUUAGAUUAUAUCUAGUAAUUUUUGUAAAAAGUACUGGAAUAAAUUGAUGAGAUAAGUAUAAGAGGACGAACAGCCUCCUUUUCGAGUAGGGAGUCAACAAACUUGUUUUCUGUAAAGGGCCAGAUAGUAAAUAUUUUAGACUCUGUCAUAGUUAUUCAACUCUAUCAUGGUAGUUGAGUAAAAGCAGCCAUGGACAUCACAUAAGGGAAUGAUUGUGGUUGUGUUCCAAUACAACUGAAAUUUGAAUUUCAUGUAACUUUCACAUAUCACGAACUAUGAUUUUUCUUUUGAAUUUUUUGCCAACCAUUAAAAAAUGUAAAACCAUUUUUAGCUCUCAGGUUGUAUGAUAACAGGUUGUGGGUUAAUUUGGUCCGUAAGAGAUGGUGUGCCUGGUUUAGAAAAUUCUCAAGGCAAAUAUGCAAUGAAGGCAAAGCUUUGUUCCUGGUUAAUGUAAUACUUUCCCUAUUGCUCUGGCAUUUUAAAGUAUGACAAGUGGGUAAGAAAAAUGAAAGUCAAAGAGAUUUUUAAGACAGGAAUUUCAAGAAGAGUAAGGGAAAAUAUUUGAAGAAGGUCCCUAAUUGUCACCUUGUAAACAACUACUGACUUUACCUUGAGGCAGAAUGAGUUUUACCUUUAUCAAAUUCAACAGACUUUUACUGACCUCUAUUAUAUUCCGGGAAUACACACUAAGUGCAAAGAUGAUGAACAGUCCCUGCCCUCUGGAUAAGUGACAACUACUAUUAAAUAAUGACGGGUCCUUACCAUUUAGGAACAGGAUUCAAUCAUUUAUUGAUUAAAACAUUUUUAAGCACCUACUACAUGCCAGGUCUUGGGUUCAGUGCCAGACAUUCCGAGAUAUAUAAAUUCUGAAGACUUUUCUGGUAUGUGACUUUCUUUCUCACUUUUGUUUUGUUACCUUGUUUUCUUGAGGGAAAAAUAGAGGCACAGAGGCUCAAGCCGGCUGUCCCAGAUGGAAUAUGAAAGAGGGAAACCAAAGUGUGACUAGUAUUGGCCUUAGCAGGACUGGGACUAGGGCAAGGCGAAUAGGAUGCAAAGGAGGCAUUCAGGUUAAGUAUUUGCAUGACCUUGAGAAUGAGCACCUCCUUGAAUUUUGCAUCCUACUGCUUCACUUGCCUCCCCCUAGUCCUGGCUGGUGCCUCAGCUCUUUCUCAGGACUGCUGUGGUCCUGGGGGGGCUGGAGUGGGCAACUGUGGGUUUGGGCUACUUUGUACUAAUGUCCCCCUCCUAAGAUAUCCCUAUGUGCUGGUGAGAAAUUACUUCUUCCUCACUGUAUAGUCUUGUGGAACUACCCAAGGGCCUCACCCCCCAGAGCCUAGGUUGGUGUGGGCGUCACAUGUUCCUUCCUAGACUGUGACUCCUGAGCUGAAUAAGUUGGUUUCUGUUCCUUUCACCACCUGCAUGAAAGCCACAGUCUUUCUGAGUAAUGCCAACGUUAAAUACCAAGUCACACCUCAGAGCCAGAGCCCAACUACUGCAAGUACGACCCACAGAUCAGCAGCACUGGCACCGCCCGGAGCUGGUAAGAAAUGCAGAACCACAAGCCUGCCCAGACCACAGUCGGACUCUGCGUGUUGAUGAGAUGCCCAAGUAAUUCCUGUGCUCACUUAAGUGCAGGAAGCACUAGUCGACACCUUUCUCCCUACCUUCUUACCACUGUGUGUUCACGGCUGCUGCCCUUGAGCUUCAUGACCACAGGGGCCUGGGAAAGUGUCCUUUCCUGGAAAUGCAUGCCUUGCGAAACUCAAGGAGCCUCAGGGCUGGCCCUGCCCUUCCCAGACAGGCCUCGCUCCCUGAGGACUUCUCAGCCCAGGGCUUCUCAGAUACACUCACCUGGACCCUAGAAAAAAAUUAGGCACUCAUUUUAGAAAAUGAUGACAGCUACCACUCUUCUGAGACCCCUUCCCUUUAAAAAGUUUGGGAGUAGUAGAGGCAGGAGACUCAAGAGGCUACUUCAAAUGGUAAAGUUUCCCUGCAAAGUUCCUCAGGCACUAUGGGGUGGUGGGGGAUGGUGAUGGUCCUUUUUUAAAGAAGGGACUUGCUCUGUCUUCCUUUAAGAAGAAGCAAGGAGUGAACAAAAUGCAUUAACAAUCUUGAUAUUUACUGAGAGCCUGCCGUAUGCCAGGCCCUUUUAUUCUUUAAAACAACCAUAAAGGACAGGCUUUUCCAGAAAAGGAAACCGAAAUUCAGAGAUGCCAAGUAACUUGCCUCAGAUUCCCCAGCUGUUAGCUGAGGAGAACCAGGGACUGAACCCAGGAUGUAUCAGUGCUGCAGACUCACAAAAACACAUGGAGCAUAAGGUACAACUGUGGUCGGCGUUUGCCCCAGGAGAGCAGUGGUGGUGGUGAUGAAGGCUCCGGGUGUGGAUGUGUGUAAAUGUAGGUUGGGGGCAGGUGGGCCAGGGUCCUCAGGAAACUCAAAGGCACAAGCAAGAAGCUAGCAGAGUUGCCCAGCACUUCAUGAUGGUGGGCCAUGACACAGUCUGCUUAAGAUAUUCUUCACACAUUUUUAAUUCAAACUAAAAUUUAAAAAUUCACUGUGAAAUAAGUGGAAGUAAGACCAAGGAUAUUCAGAUUUUCCCAGCGAUGACUUCUUCAAUUCUUUUUUUGGGAAAAAUAUAAAAUAUUAAAUUGUAUUUUUUUCUCAUUCUUCUGGGUGUCCUGCUUUUGCCGAUGCACUCAGUACACAGCCCUGUAGGACCCAGCUCUGAGGCUGAGGGAUGCUCACCCAGCUACAUGGAAGUGGUGGUGAGAUUAUCUGUAAGACCAGCUGAGUGCAGCAUGGUUAGGGAGGUGGGGAUGCUGAAAACUCAAGUGAGUCACUGCUCUAAGGAUUUUUGGAGUGCUUGCUAUCCCCAUUCCUGGGCUCUGAGUCAAGAAUGUAAUUGAAGCCCCAGGACAAUGAAGCGUGAAAGGAAAGAUGUUCCCUGGUGUCAGAUACCCUGGCCAACCAGAUCCGAAAGCACAGAGCAGGUGCUUGGCUUUUGUUCAUGCUUGGCUUUUGUUCUUGGCGCUAGCUGGGUCCCUGUGCCUGGCCCCACACCCAGACCUCUCUAGACAAAAGCCGCAGCUACAAAGCUCUAGCUCCUGCCUCUGCUGGCACAUCCAGGACCUGCUGUGACUGACAAUAGCCUGCUUCCUCUUGCUGACCCCUUGUUUCAAGGCUCGAGAUUCAGAGGCAGGAGCCACAUCCCAACAGAGAAAACCAUGAAGCAGAACCUCAGACAUUAAGGAUCUAUCUCACUAGGGAAGAUGAAGAUAUUAUUAUUGUCUGAAGAAAACUUUAAAGUGACCCAGGUAACCAUCUGGUGUCUGGGAAUAGGAUCAACAACCAGGGGGAAGAUCCAACUAGGCUGGCUAUCUGGCCUUGAACCAUCCUGAUGAAAUGAACAUCAGAGACAGCCUGGAAGGAGCAAAGACAGCACCAUAUGGCAGCCUCACAGGUGACUAUAGAUGAGACAAGGGGAAGCCUUUUCUCUGAAGCCUAGGGAGGGUGGCUAUCAGGGCUGAUUGCAAGGAUGUAAGACUCAGGCAUGUUUAAACAAUAACACGACAAAAGAAGUUGUCUAUCAUUGAGAGUUUGCUGUGCCAGGCACUCUACUAAAAAUUUUAUAUGUAAAACUCAAUAAUACCCUGAAUGGAGGUACUGUCAUCAUCCCCAUUUUGCAGGUGGAGUAAGGAAGUUAAGUAGCUUACUCACAGCUAUAUGACCAGUAAGUAAGUGGCAGAAGUGGCUUUCAAAUUCUGGUUUUACUACAAAGCCUGAGAAUUUAACCGCUAUCCCAGACUGUGUCCUUCGCAGUGCAGUUUAAGCUUCUUUUACCUCUUCUUCCUUCUAUCACAGUUUAUUACCCAUAAUUAAGGGUCUUCUCAAAACUGAGGCAAGAAUGGCCCUGGGCUGUAACACACAUCCACUGUUCACUUUUAUUAGCUCUGGGUCUAGACAUGGGGUACAGGAAAGAGCAGGGUGGCUGCUGAGAAAGCAUCUCUUAAAGUUCAAGUUCCUGUGUUUUCGUUAUUAGGAGGAGGAAAAGGAGAAAGAGAUAAUAUGUAGAGCUAGAUUUCUUAAAGGCCUCUAUUUCAACCAGUUUUGAGAAAGUGUUCUCUGCUUCUUUUUUAAGAACCCGAAGCCUGUAGAUCAAAUAGGCUGUUCAGUCCAGGCUGGAGCAUGAAUCACUACAGAGUUAAAAGAGUUUAGCGCGAUAUCUAGGGUAUGCCUGAGUGUAAAAGAAACAGCUUUUUUUUUUUUUUUUCAAGUGUAUAUUUUCAUUUUCUAUGAUUCAGAAAAUCUCCAAAGUACAAAGAAUUUAUGUCAGUCCUAGUUGUGAGAGCAACAAAUCAGAAACCACUCAAAGGAUCAAAAAUAGGAGAAUAAAAAAUUAUGGCAUAUUAACCAGAGUGAAUAUCAUAUAAUGAUACCAUGAAAGUUAGUUUAGCAUCAUAGGAAGGUGUUAUGCAAAAGUUUUUGAAUAAAAAAAUCAAGUUUGAAUAAAAAGUUCUGUACAUAUACACAUGGGCAGAACACAUAGAAAAUAUUUUGUGGCGGUGAGAUUAUGAGUGACCUUUUCCUUUAUAGAUUUUCUCUAUUGUUUUUAUAACGUUUUGUGACAAAUAAAAAACUCAAAAUGUAUACAAUUAUAUGGUGGUUUGUACCUUAAGUGUGCGUUUUGGCUUAAUUACCUUGCAACCCUAUAUCCACAUGUGGCAAAGAACUUGCAAACUGUUGCACGUAAUUUACAUAUUCCUUUAAAUAUAUAACAUAUACUUAUCGCUGUUACACAAAUUGGAAUUAAUCCUUCAGGUUAGGGUCGUUAUGCCUUCUUAUCAGUAAUAUUUUAUGUUCCUUGGGUGGGAUCCCAAACUAGAAAAGCAAAAGGAGAGCGCCCAGCCCCCAGCAGUUCCUAUCAAUACAGUAAUGAAACCCAGCUCUCUCUGGCACACCGCCUCGGUUUUCAGCUUUCCUGGAAGGCUGGAAAAUGGAUUCCUUGGGGAUCCCCAGGGCUCCUAACCCAUUAGGAAGGCUGAAGUCUGGCAACUCCAGCAGAUCAGGUCACUGUCUUCUCUAAGGACCACAAGAAAGAGCACCGGGGAGGCUUCCCAUAGAAGAAAUGAAUGUUGGUGGCAACUCUCAUCCACUUGCUUUCCCAGAAAUCAAAGGUUCCCUUCAGACUUCCCUACUGGAGUAGAAAGCAGAUUUUAUAGUCUCUAAGGGUCUAUGUAAUUAUCUGUAUUCUACUCUUUGCUCUAAAGAUUGAGAGAUGCUCUAGGGCAGCGGUCCCCAAUAUUUUUGGUACCAGGAACUGGUUCUCCUAUAAGAAUCUAAUGCCUGAUGAUCUGAGGUGACGCUGAGGUGGUGAUGAUAGCGCUAGGGAGCGGCUGCAAAUACAGAUGAAGCUUCACUAGCUCACCUGCCGCUCACCUUCUGCUGUGCUGCCCGGUUCCUAACAGGCCACAGACUGGUACCAGUCCAUGGUCCAGGGACUGGGGUCCCCUGCUCUAGGGUAAAAGCAAAGGUAUAGUAAGACCAAAUAUUAAAAAAAGAAAAAUUAAAUGGCAUAAGACAAGGAGUGGGGAGUGGGUAAGAGCGGAGAAUUUAAAAAUUAAGUCCAGCAGAAAAAAUACCUACAAUAAAGAACACAAAACUUGGUGGCCAGAGUAAAUAGCAAAACCAAAGCAUUUAUAAACGAGCAGAGAUCUUGUUUCUAAGGUUUGAGAAGUAAAGGUGAGUUGUGAACUGCCUGUAGCUUGAGUACUGAGAAAAUUAUACAGCUCGCCUAAGUGAGCCUUUUCCAGUUAAAAAAUCUUCUAGGAAAGGGACAUAAUGUCUGUUUCGAAUGCAUUCCUGUAUCAUUUACUCUCAAUUUACCAUGCAAUCAUCUUAUUAUUUUUAAUGUGUGUGCAUUGCUUACUCUAGAUUACAGACUCCUUGAGGGCAAGAAGUCUAUUUUAUGCUUUUCCUAUAUUGUCCUACAAUCCCCAACCUAUAGUCCCUAAAAUAAUAAUGUGUGCUUAAGUAGAAAUAUUUUUAGUCUCAUAGGCCGAUUCAUGUAUAAUCUUAAUUGUCACAUAUUCUCUAGUUACUAGGAGACGAUAUGAAAGCCCUUUCUCUAUUUAAGAGAAAGAGAGCAGAGCAAGGGGUUCAAGAAAUAAAAAAUUGUAGCCAGAGCGGGAAGAGAGAACACAAGCCAGAAACAGUAGACAUUCUGGAUAGGAGUUUUCAAGCAGAAGAUUAGUGAUUGAAAAGAUGUGAGCAGUUUUGCCAGAAUCUGAGACUAGAAACACUUCACCGAGGCACAUUUUCUUUACAUUUAGUACAUUCCUAUUCCUGGGCCAAUUGUUCUGCCUUGUUCCUUUUUAAUUUCUUGGGAAAGUGCUAAGGCAGACAAUCUUGGAGUGUUCUAGAAAGGGGUAAUUUCUGAGAACAUAGUAGGAAGCCAAAUCAAAGAAUGAGAGUCUUAAAGCUGAAUAAGCCAACAGUUAAUCACGUCCUGGCUGGGUUCCGAAAUACAUCUAUGCUAGCCAUUCCUGUGAAGCCAGCGCCCACCUUAAAAAUGAAAAUGAAGAACCCUACUGCCCAAGUGCUGAGUCACAAUUCCAAUAUGCUGAUCGCUGGGCUUUUAGCAAUAAUAUUUAACUGCUUUGAGACAGUGACAGGGCUCACUUCAGAUAAUGGUAUUGAAGAGGUUCAGAACGGGUCUUCCCAGGAAGUGACACUUUGGCACAUAAAUUAUUUUGAACUGAAGGCAAUCGACACCCUAUGAGCUCAUGAGACACUUACCUUUCCCUUAAAGGAUUUAAAUUUGGGCCUUUCCCAUAAUAAGAGUUAUUACUAGAGAUAACUUUUUGAUUUAUCUAUAAGGCAGGGCAAAUAUCUAAUUACUAAACAUCUGCUCUUCUUACCAACCUACGAAUGACCUACCACCCCUCUGAAGCCCUAAUGUGCCUUACCUCAGAAUGCCAUAUAUACCUCAUUUUAACCUUCUGUCCCUGAACCUCUCCUGUAUGUGGGGUCUCUGACUCUCUCAUCAUGUAUGUGAAGUUCCCAUAUAUACAUAUGUAAUUAAGUUUGGUUACUUUUCUCUUGUUAAUCUGUCUCAUGUAGGUAUAUUAUUAGACUAACCAAAAGAACCUUGAAGGGUAAAGUUGCUUCUUCCCCAAGUGUCUUUGACCACAGCAAUUCAAGUAGUUACUUGGCAAUUUGUUUCUACUGUGAAACGUGGUUUUUAAGGAGGAAAUGGGCUUGGAAUGGUGUGCUGAUGCGAGAUGUAGUCAGCAUCGGAACCCGGCUCAUUGGAAGGCCAUGGGCCUAUGUUAUUCUAUUGCAUGUACCUGGGAGUUUAAUACUUGAUUUAUGAGUCUAAGCAAUAAGAGUUCCACUGGAAAGGCAGUAUUCCAAAUCCUGAGUAUUUCCUGAGUUGAAAACAGAUCAGGACUCACGACUUUCUCGCUCCCAUCUCUAGUCAGCAUCCACCCAGAGGGAGCUGACUCCUCCAUGCUUCCUGCCCAGCCAUGCCCCGCUGGCCCCUUGGGAGAAUCAUCCCUUGGUCACACACACAAAGGGCUCUUUACCUUUUCCAUCAUUAGCUUUCCUCUGGAGACAGUGGAUACUGAAGCGGUUGCCAAGCGGUUCCUCAAGAAUGAACAAGGGCUGACCUGCCUUCAUUUAUGUCUGUGGCAAGACCUACGAGCAAGAUUCCAUAUUCUGUCAGCUGACUCGGCAACACAUACAAAUGCAGUUUGAGAAUGAAGCAACAGAAACAUAUUUUCAAGGGCUGGUGUUUUGCUUAAAAAUGAAAUUUGAAUCUAUCAGAGAUAUUCUUCACCUCCUGUGUACAGGUGACUAUCAACUCCGGAAUCGUUACUUCAACAUUUGUGUCUGGGCCAUUCGUCCAAUCAACAAAUGUAUUUCGAAUGUCUUCUAUGUAUGGGGUGGCAUUGUAAUGCAAUGAAUGGCGUGGUCAGGGUGUUACUUUCAGUUUCCCUAAGGACCCAAUAGGAGGUGGGAAAAGGCUCAGGGCUGAACUGAAAAGGGACUGGAGGAAGAAUAAGAGCGAAGGACGACAUUCUACACACAUCACCUGGUUUAGUUCUCAGCCCAGUGAGGAAGCACACAAGCAUGUGAAGAGGCAAACCAUCUAUCUCCUUUAUGGAUAAAAAUAUUGCUGCUCUAAUGGUAAAAUUAACCCAGGGCACACAGUGAGUGGUGGAGCAGGAUUUGAAGCUGGCCUCUCUGGUUUCCAAGACUCACACUGGGCUGCUUGCCCCUCAUGGGAGCUGAACUCCAUAGGGUUGAACUCAACUAACCAAAUGACUUUGUGCAUGCAAGCCAAUAAACCUCUCUGGGCCUCGGUGAGUAUAAGCCUUCUUCCAGCUCUGAAUCAGCAUUUUAGUUAGAGCAUCAGCCCUGGCAGGCCCUGAUAAGGCCUUGACUCGACUCUUUGUUCUCUGUGGCCUUAGUAAAAGAUGGAAAUAAAACUCUCACAGGCAGCAGGAACCAGUCUUACCCUCUAGGUCAAUGCCCAUUUGUCAAAAAUUUGGCAAAAGUUUUAUUCAUAUUAGUGAACCAUCAACAUAGCUUCAUUCAUUGUUUGACAAACAGAAUUUAUGACAUCUGUUGGAGGAAUGUAGCUCUGAAAACUCUCAAUGUCAAAAAAUAUAUAUGAUAGAAAAAACACUUCUUGCACUGCUUGACAUUCUUUUCCAAACCCCUGUCUCUAAUUCUAGAAAUGAUGGCUUCCUGAGCACCCUAGUGCUUUUUUAAAUUGGAGAAUUCAGAUUUUUUUUCUGUAUGUACAUCUGACUGCAGACUGAAAAAAAAACACAUCUACAAAUCGUGUUGACAAGUUGAAAAAGUGGUUAACAUACACUCAAAUAUUUGUUCAAGUAGAAAAAAAGACAUUUCUUUAUUCCCGGAGAAGAAAAAAAUCAGGCCAAAGUAUUAAACUCCAGAGGAUACAUACCAGCAUACACAAAAUUUAAAUUUUGUUUCUGCUAACAGUAUCUUGAGGAGCAGUAAGAAGGGGAAUUGUUUAAUGGCAGUCUCAAAGUUCAGAAUGUAUCCACGAAGUGCUUUCCUUUGAAUCCCAGUUAACAGAUUGUAGAAUCUCAUGACAAAUUUAAACAUUUUUGGAAGGUGCUUAUAUUCUUCCCCUUAGCCUUCCUCUGUGGAGUUUCCGUGUUUUACUCUGAACAGGGCAACUUUUCCAGCUGUUCAUUCUGAAAUCUGGGCCUGCUGAAUUUCAGGAAUGGAAUUUAGAGUGUGAAUCUUGAAUUCUUUCUUUGUACUUCAUGGUUUUCUAAAUGGUGACCAUAUUGACUUCCAGCCUUGGCAUUGCCAUACUGAAGAGCCCUAAUCAAUCUCCCCUGACCUCACAGAGCGGCAUGUUCGGUUUAUCACACUGGCUCAGACCCAAGGAGACAGGGUGCUCUCCCUUUUCUACUUAUCAGAGAUUAGAUAAUAAUAAUUCUUCGAAAUGGCAUGCCUUAUUUAUUUCAUCUGACCCCUGGGACCUAGGGAAGAAGUUAAACCACCCACUUGCGAUCACGUCAGCUGCAAGCUGACUUAACCUACAUCUUCCCAGUUUCCUCCCCUCCCAGAUGUACCUGCUGCUUCAUCUGUUUCUACUUAUGUCUAGUAGUUGCUUUUCUUCUGCUGUAAAAUGCUGGAAACAACUGGAGGAAGAAUCCAAAUAGGGCUUUGUAGUUCCACAGGCCUGAGUUUGGAACCUUACCCUACUACUUGUGAGCUAUGAACUAUGAGUAGGUUUACUCAGCCUUCCUGAGCCUGUUUCUAUAUUCGUACAAUGGGGAUGGAUGUGAAGCUGAAGUAACACUUGUCAGUGCCUAUUACAGGUUCUGGCAUAUGAAGCUGAAGUAACACUUGUCAGUGCCUAUUACAGGUUCUGGCAUAUGGUAUCUGAGGAUAGCAUUAAUCAUCAUCGUCAUAAUUUGGGGCAAAGUUAAGUGUUGUCCCAGCUUCAUCAAGUUGGAUAUUAAAUACCCUCUGUGGUGGUCUCUGGAGCACACGAAGCAGGUUGAGGACAGCAGCAGUUAAUGGUCAUCAAGAAUGCCCCAGGUGCUGUGCUAUGUACCUUAUUACAUGGGUUAUACAUUUGAGUCUCAUGACAAUCACCUAUGAGCUAGGUACUAAUCUUUUCUGUAUUUCAUAGAUGAAGAACUUCAGAUUUAGGGACUUGACAGGCUAGACAGAUAGUGAAGAGGAAGCCAGAUCUGGCUCUCAAAGUGAAAAGUGCUGGGUGAGAGAAGUGAAGAAAGGCCUCUAUGACUACAGUGAGGUAGAGGCAUUUCUUGCCUACUGAGGACCGGCAGGGGUGAGCCUAGGGGUGGUGAAGAUGUGAAGAUGUGGAAGGUUGAGACCCAGAGUGUUAAUUUGUCUUGAGCAGGGGACAGCUUUUCGCAAGCGGAAAUUAGAAGUCCAGGCUCCAGACUUUUAAGUGGGUUCUUUGCCUUACACCUACUCUUUCUGUGGAGGGAAAAUACCUGGUCGAAGGGCUUAGAACAACUACAGAUAUUGAAUAUUUUUCAAUAAAUAGUACUCGUGCAUCCAAACGAAUUUUCAUUUAUUUCAAUUCUACUGUGUUGUUUACUUUUCAUGAGAAUGUCCUUUUUUCUCCUGCAGCACGAGUCUGGCCAACUAAUCUUGUAAUCUAUUUUUAUUUGCUUAAAAGUCUUUAAGAGCAACUUACGAUAUUUUCGGUUUCCAAGUCUGAGAAAAUGAGGACGUAUUGAAUUUAGAACUCACCAAGAGUUAGAAAGCAGAAAAUCACAAAGACCCCUUAAAGCAAUACCUUUAAGUAAAAAUCACACUGCUGGGGGACAGUUUUAGUGCACUAACCCACAAUUUGUUGAUGUGUGUGCAUGCCACUGCUGAAGACUUAGCUAAUAUUUGGGGGGUGGGGGGAGGGGAGGAGAAAGCUAACUAACCUAAACCAGUAAAACUACUAUAAAAGGUCUCUAGUAUGUGCAGAUAUAUAUCAAUGAUAUGGAGAAUCUUUUGGAAAGGGUCUUUCCUGUUUGGUAACAACUUUAACAGACCAAGGGGAUAUUGCCUUGAGUACUUCUGGGGAGAUAACACAUGAAACCUAGUUUUUCCCUGGACUUUGGGAUAUUCUUUUGCUUUAAAUCAUUUGUGAGGGAAGGUAGGUCGAUUACACGAUCUAAAGUUCACAAAGUAAAAACAUACAAACGACAGGACCACUAAGUUUAGAAAAUGGCCUACAAUGUGCAUUUUAUUCCAUAUCAUUAUACAAUGUUUACACAUACAGUAGUCCCCCCUUAUCUGCAGUUUCACUUUCCUUGGUUUCAGUUAACUGCAGUCAACCACGGUUGGAAAACAUUAAAUGGAAAAGUUGAGAAAUAGACCAUUUGUAAGCCUUAAAUUGCAUGCCAUUCUGAGUAGUGUGAUAAAAUCUUGCACUGUCCCACUGCGCACCGCAUCAUCCUUUGGUCCAGCGCUUCCACGCUGCACAUGCCACCCACCCAAUGGUCACUUAGUAGCUGUCUUGGUUAUCAUAUUGACUGUCAUGGUAUUGCAGUGCGUGAGUUCAAGUAACCCUUAUAUUUACUUAAAAAUGGUCCCAAGGCGCAACAGUAGUGAUCCUUUCGAUUUGAAUAUGCCAGAGAGAAGCCGUAAAGUGCUUCAAGUGAAGAGCUGUGUGUAUAGGAACAAAGAUAGCAUAUAUAGGGUUCUAUCCGCGGUUUCAGGCAUCUACUGGGGGUUUUGGGAGCUAUCUCCAGUGGGCAAGGGGAGACUACUGUAGUUAUAACUCUUAAGAAAAUGUUGUUUCUUUACCAUUUCUAUGUAGUGCCUAAAUCUUUCACUUUAACAUGGAGAAA